AGUAGAGGAGGGGUAAAGGAGAGGUAAAGGAGAGGUAGGGAGAGGUAAAGUAAAGGAGGGGUAAAGGAGAGAUAAAGGAGAGGUAGGGGAGAGGUAAUGGAGAGGUACAGGAGAGGAGAGGUAAAGGAGAGGUAGGGUAGAGGUCAAGGAGAGGUAGGGGAUAGGUAAAGGAGAGGAGAGGUAAAUGAGAGAUAGGGGAGAGGUAAAUGAGAGGUAAAGGAGAUGUAAAGGAGAGGUAAAGGAGAGGAUGGAAUAGGUAAAGGAGAAGUAGUGGAGAGGUAAAUGAGAGGUAAAGGAGAUGUAAAGGAGAGGUAAAGGAGAGGAUGGAAUAGGUAAAGGAGAAGUAGUGGAGAGGUAAAGGAGAGGUAAAGGAGCGGUAGGGGAGAGGAGAGGUAGAGGAGAGGUAAAGGAGAGGUAGGGGAGAGGUAAAGGAGAGGUAAAGGAGAGGUAUAGGAGAGGAUGGAUGACCCUAUGGAGAACAUACACCCUUUCUCUCUCUCUCUUUCUCUCACUCACUCUCUCUCUAACUCUCUCUAAAUCUCUCUUUAUCUCUCUCUCUCUAUCUCUCUCUCUCUUCUCUCUCUCUCUCUCAAUUAAAUUCAACUGAAAUAAACAAUAAUUAUGAACAGUAAACAUUAUCCAAAAGAAUAAAUAAAUGGGAAAAUAAAUAAACAUAAAUAUGAGUUGAAUUUACAAUGGUGUUUGAUCUUCACUGGUUGCCCUUUUCUUGUGGCAACAGGUCACACGUCUUGCUGCUGUGAUGACACACUAGUGCCCUCACCAGUUUGUUGAUAUAUAUGUUGAAGAGGGUGGGGCUUAAGCUUCAUCCCUGUCUCACCCCACGGCCCUGUGGGAAGAAAUGUUUUUUUGUCUAUUUUAACCGCACACUUGUUGUUUGUGUACAUGGAUUUUAUAAUGUCGUAUGUUUUCCCCCCAACACCACUUACCAUCAAUUUGUAUAGCAGACCAUCAUGCCAAUACAUGGUCUAUCGUACGAUAAUUUGGUAAAAUGCCAAUUUGCUCAGUACAUUGUUGUCACUGAGGAAAUGUACGAGUCUGCUGUUAAUGAUAAUGCAGAAGAUUUUCCCAAG
ensembl:lncRNA